CCCCCCGUAGUUCAAUGGAUAGAAAGAGGGACUUCUAAUCCCUAGAUGUAGGUUCGAUUCCUACCGGGGGGA
rnacentral:tRNA from 1 species